UCUAUGUGAAAUCCGUAUCUAACUCUCAUAAAAUUUUAUUUGAAGUCACAUAGCUCUCUUUAGUUCAGGCCUGAUUCACCACCGAAUCGCACGAUUCACGUCCGGAAUCCAAGGUUCUUACAGAAACAAAGUCCUGUCCAUAGUACUAUUACUCGACUACCAACUCUUUCGAGACGGGAGGAGUCUGAACUCUAGUAUUUUGUAAUGGCUGUCGCUGUGAAAAAUAGUAUUUUAUCUACAUUUACUUCACGUGAGGUAUCAGAGAACUGAUCAAGAGGAGAAUUAAAAAGGUUUUAGGUUUAAAUAGACCUACUCUUGAUUAGUUAACUUUGAGGAACGGAAAAUUGAUGAACAUCAUGACCUGGGAAGGUUUCAUUCGCAAUUUGAAACACAAGAUCAGAUUGAAAAUAAGCUUAACUUAAGUCUAUUCAAUAUGCGGCAAUUUUCAUUGUCUGUGUCUUCCUUUGGAAGAGAGGUCCCUUAAAAACUUCAAGUACUAUAACUAUGGCAAGUGUUGAAGAAAGAGAACAAGAUUUACACACACAAAGUCACGAUGAAAAGAAGACCAAGGAACAAAUAAUGCACAGGAGCAACAGAGUAGGUACUCCAACCGUAGAGAAGCCUUUUAAAUGUGAUCAAUCACUGAUCAAUGCCCCAAGAACUUCAGCAGUAGCAGUAGUCUGUACAAGCAUUAGUCUGUAAAGACAGUAUAGUCUGUGAAGAACGUGGAAAGACUUUCAGCGAAGCAGGGACUCUUAGAAGACACAGCUCACAGAGUGGUACAUUUGGGAAAGAGACAUGCAUGUAACCAGUGUAACUGCACAUUAUUUUAGUCUCAAGUGGGAUCUUCAAAGCCAUGAAAGGACAUAUACUGGAGUGAAGCCUUUUCCAUGAAGCUACUGUGGAAAAUGCUUUAGUUAUACUCUAGAAAUCUUCACAGACACUAUAGAAUACAUACAGGAGAGAGACCUUUUAAAUGCAAGUAUUGUGACAGGCAAUUCACACAAAAAGGAGGUCUCCAUAGACAUAAGAAUUCUUAUACAUAUGGUAUAAGAAUUUCCAUCACCCAGACCCACUGAAGAUCCAUCUCAGGGUGGUAUGUGGAGGAGAGAGACCAUGUAAAUGUGAACAAUGUGGCAAAAGUUUUAAGCAGAAGGUACAUCUUCAGUCACAUGAAAGCAUACAAACAGGGCCUGCAGAAACUGGCUACCCACUGUUGCAGUUCCCCUGCCAUACUUUGUAGUGGAGAAGUUAAUAAAUAAAGAAAUGUAGGCAUUUUACUAAUUAUCCUUUGCUCCUCAAAGGCUUGUACAUAAGCUGGCAUCAAUGAUGAUAAUAAUAAUAAUAAUAAUAAUAAUAAUAAUAAUAAUAAUAAAUUUUAUUUAUAUAGUGCACUUAUCCCAUGCUCAAGGCUCAAGACUGUCAAAUUUUUCACACAUUAUUUUAAUUGGCCUGGGAACAUUUGCCUUUUACUUACAGUAGCAAAUUAGAUUUUUCCUGACAAUUUUAUUUAUAUGUGAAAAUUCUAUCCAUUGCUUAAUAUUUAAUCUUAGUGAUGUCCAUGUAAAUAUUUGUAAUACAAUUCUUUCACAGUAACAGCACUAUUUCAAACAGAAAGGUUUGCAUGUAUCUUAAUUGUAACAUUUCUUAAAAUAUUGUUGAGUGCAUUUAACUUUAACUCCUGAAGUUCUGGUUGGCUUUGCCUUAAGGGCAGAGAGUUUCAUUACUGUAUCUAUAGGCCUUUUGCAGCUAAGCCAUCACGUGACCUACUUUUCAUGAAAUUAUGGGCUAUAAUAAUAAUAAUCGACUUUACUUAAAGAGGGUAGACACACAACAGCUUGCGCUGAUAAACCAGUGGCCCUCAAAACUAAAGUUAGUAAGUAAUACAUUCUAAGC